UGGCGGACGGGUGAGUAACGCGUGGGUAACCUGCCCUAUACUGGGGGAUAACAGCUAGAAAUGGCUGCUAAUACCGCAUGAGCGCACAGUCCCGCAUGGGACAGUGUGGAAAACUCCGGUGGUAUAGGAUGGACCCGCGUCCGAUCAGCUGGUUGGUGGGGUAACGGCCCACCAAGGCGACGAUCGGUAGCCGACCUGAGAGGGUGACCGGCCACAUUGGGACUGAGACACGGCCCAAACUCCUACGGAAGGCAGCAG
rnacentral:rRNA from 1 species